rnacentral:rRNA from 1 species
UUUCCGGUUGAUCCUGCCGGAGGUCAUUGCUAUCGGAGUCCGAUUUAGCCAUGCUAGUCGUGCGAGUUCAUACUCGCGGCACCGAGCUCAGUAACACGUGGCCAAACUACCCUACAGAGACGGAUACCCUCGGGAAACUGAGGCUAACCCGUCAUACCGAUCUCAGGCUUGAAUCGCAGAGAUCACCAAACGCCCCGGCGCUGUAGGAUGUGGCUGCGGUUGAUUAGGUUGACGGUGGGGUAACGGCCCACCGUGCCCAUAAUCAGUACAGGUUGUGAGAGCAAGAACCUGGAGACGGAAUCUGAGACAAGAUUCCGGGCCCUACGGGGCGCAGCAGGCGCGAAACCUUUACACUGCACGCACGUGCGAUAAGGGGACUCCGAGUGCGAGGGCAUAUCGUCCUCGCUUUCGUGUACCGUAGGGUGGUACACCAACAAGGGCUGGGCAAGACCGGUGCCAGCCGCCGCGGUAAUACCGGCAGCCCGAGUGAUGACCGAUCUUAUUGGGCCUAAAGCGUCCGUAGCUGGCCGCGCAAGUCCGUCGGGAAAUCCACUCGCCCAACGAGUGGGCGUCCGACGGAAACUGCACAGCUUGGGACCGGAAGGCUCGAAGGGUACGUUCGGGGUAGGAGUGAAAUCCUAUAAUCCCGCACGGACCACCGAUGGCGAAAGCACUUCGAGAAAACGGAUCCGACAGUGAGGGACGAAAGCCAGGGUCUCCAACCGGAUUAGAUACCCGGGUAGUCCUGGCUGUAAACAAUGUUCGCUAGGUAUGACACAGACUACGUGUCUCUGUUGUGCCGUAGGGAAGCCGAGAAGCGAACCGCCUGGGAAGUACGUCUGCAAGGAUGAAACUUAAAGGAAUUGGCGGGGGAGCACUACAACCGGAGGAGCCUGCGGUUUAAUUGGAUUCAACGCCGGGA